AGGCCCGCCAUGGCCGGCACCACGGGGCAAGCAGUGCCCCCGCCUCAGGGGCGGAAGGCGGCAGAGGAGCGCCGCUUGGCGCGUCCCUCGGUGCCUAUUCUCCGGCAGAAUAUGCUCGCCCCAUCGACGAAGUAGUCGCGCGAGGGUCGUGCCGAUUGAAGCCGUGAACACUUUAUUAUUCAUUGUUUUUCUUGAUUCGUGCCUUUGAUGGGUCAAUGAUGUGUUGGUGCCCGCCGGCCAGGUAAUCCAGCUUCUGCAAACCACGUACUAGAUGGGUAAUAUCGGCAUCCAUCCGUAUCUGCAGCACUGCAACAUUUUUCAGCGACUUGGUAUUUUGUAUUGUAGGUUUAAAUACAAAGAUGAUCGUAUCUUUUCAGUGAUGCAUUGGUUCACCUACAAACUGAUCUUUCUUUUGUGGUGAACUCAGAUUUUGAGCACUGGAAAGAACAAGAUCGAUCCAUAAGUGAUUACUCUCUUGGAUUUAGAAACAUACACUAAGUUGAAUUUCUCCAUUCUGCCAAAGUAGGGCUUAAAUAGUUAUCUGGUAUGUUAUAUUGUAUUUCAGCUAACGAAGGUGGAAAGGUACUUCAUCCAUUCCUUUAUUUUAUUCUUACCAAAUACAGUACUGCAAAUUUAUCAACAGCUGAUUAUGAUAUAAUUUAGUGGACACCUCACAUUAUUGAACACUAUUACCUUAAAUCCUAAAGAAAAACCAGUUAAGAUGCAUCUAGAAUAGAGUAUGGUCGUAGAACUAUCACAUUUAUUAUGGAAAGAAUGAUGUACCAAACACUUUCAGUUAUGAUGUGCUUUGGUCCUUUUAGUGUGGUUGACAAGUGAAUACUGCUUUCAGAAAAUAAGAUGGACAAGCAUUGAUUUGAUCUGGAACAAGGAGGUCGAAAAUGUUAGACGAUGACCGGUGCUUUGCAAUCAUUCUCACACUUCAGUGCUGGACAUGAACCUGCUGCCGGUAGCGGAAACAAGGGGUGAAUUGCCUGCAUAUGAACUAUGCAAGUGUCAUGAAGAUGUUGGAACGCUCCCCUCUUCUAGCUUAACUUUUCAGCUGGUUCUCCUCUCAUGUGUGUUUUUCACUUGAUGGUUGAGCUUCCCAAUUGUAACUGAAUGUUGUAUGAGAUCUAUUCUGGUUGAGCUUCA